GACGAACGCUGGCGGCGUGCUUAACACAUGCAAGUCGAACGGAAAGGCCCUGCUUUUGUGGGGUGCUCGUGUGGCGAACGGGUGAGUAACACGUGAGUAACCCGCCCUUGUCUUUGGGAUAACUUCAGGAGACUGGGGCUCAUACCGGAUAGGAGCUCCUGCUGCAUGGUGGGGGUUGGAAAGUUUCGGCGGUUGGGGAUGGACUGGCGGCUUAUCAGCUUGUUUGGGGGGUAGGGGCUUACGAAGGCUUUGACGGGUAGCCGGCCUGAGAGGGUGACCGGCGACAAUGGGACUGAGAGACGGACCAGAAUGGUACGGGACGCAGUAGUGGGAAACAUUGCACAACGGGGGGAAGCCAGAUACAGCAACGCCGCGUGCGUGAUGAUGUCCUACGGGUGGUAAACCGCUUUCGCCGGUGACGAAGCGUUAUUGACGGUAACGGGUAAAGAAGCACCGGCUAACUACGUG
rnacentral:rRNA from 1 species